rnacentral:tRNA from 1 species
CUAAUUCAUAAAUAAGAAGGAUAAGGGCGGAUGUAGCCAAGUGGAUCAAGGCAGU